rnacentral:lncRNA from 1 species
GUUCAAACUCAUAAAUCCAUGGACAAAAAACAAAAUCGGGGUAACAAACUAAAACUGAGGGAAACGCAUUAAAUAUAAGAGGAGAACAACGACACAACACUACAAUGUAACACACAUAGAAACGAACCAAGCAUCAGACAAAAUCCCACGAGAAUAACAAAUAUAAAAUCAAAACCAACUACAUGAAUUUGGGAUAGACAAGUACCGUGACACGUCUUAUCGCAAUGUGAAUUUACACUAAAAAAUAAGAGAAAACAAACGACGCAACGUUAAAAUGUAACACACACAGA